AACGAACGCUGGCGGCAUGCCUUACACAUGCAAGUCGAACGGCAGCAUGGAGAGCUUGCUCUCUGAUGGCGAGUGGCGAACGGGUGAGUAAUGCAUCGGAACGUACCGUGUAAUGGGGGAUAACGUAGCGAAAGUUACGCUAAUACCGCAUACGACCUGAGGGUGAAAGCAGGGGAUCGCAAGGCCUUGCGUUAUACGAGCGGCCGAUGUCAGAUUAGCUAGUUGGUGAGGUAAAGGCUCACCAAGGCGACGAUCUGUAGCGGGUCUGAGAGGAUGAUCGGCCACACUGGGACUGAGACACGGCCCAGACUCCUACGGGAGGCAGCAGUGGGGAAUUUUGGACAAUGGGGGCAACCCUGAUCCAGCCAUGCCGCGUGAGUGAAGAAGGCCUUCGGGUUGUAAAGCUCUUUCGGCCGGGAAGAAAUCGCACAGGCUAAUACUCUGUGUGGAUGACGGUACCGGCAUAAGAAGCACCGGCUAACUACGUGCCAGCAGCCGCAGUAA
rnacentral:rRNA from 1 species